rnacentral:rRNA from 1 species
GACGAACGCUGGCGGCGUGCUUAACACAUGCAAGUCGAACGAAGAGCGAUGGAAGCUUGCUUCUAUCAAUCUUAGUGGCGAACGGGUGAGUAACGCGUAAUCAACCUGCCCUUCAGAGGGGGACAACAGUUGGAAACGACUGCUAAUACCGCAUACGAUCUAAUCUCGGCAUCGAGGAGAGAUGAAAGGUGGCCUCGACAUGUAAGCUAUCACUGAAGGAGGGGAGUGAGUCUGGUUAGCUAGUUGGAGGGGGAACGGCCCACCAAGGCGAUGAUCCGUAGCCGGUCCUGGAGGGUGGACGGCCCCAUUGGGACUGGGACCCGGCCCAGACUCCUACGGGGGGCAGCAGUGGGGGAUCUUCCGCCAUGGACGAAAGUCUGGCGGAGCAACGCCGCGUGAGUGAUGACGGCCUUCGGGUUGUAAAGCUCUGUUAAUCGGGACGAAAGGCCUUCUUGCGAAUAGUGAGAAGGAUUGACGGUACCGGAAUAGAAAGCCACGGCUAACUACGUG